rnacentral:rRNA from 1 species
AUGACGGUAUCUAACGAAUAAGCACCGGCUAACUCCGUGCCAGCAGCCGCGGUAAUACGGAGGGUGCAAGCGUUACUCGGAAUCACUGGGCGUAAAGAGCGCGUAGGCGGGAUAGUCAGUCAGGUGUGAAAUCCUAUGGCUUAACCAUAGAACUGCAUUUGAAACUACUAUUCUAGAGUGUGGGAGAGGUAGGUGGAAUUCUUGGUGUAGGGGUAAAAUCCGUAGAGAUCAAGAGGAAUACUCAUUGCGAAGGCGACCUGCUGGAACAUUACUGA